GUGCUUUUAGAAGCAGCUGCUCAAAGCAGGCUAAGGCUUCGUUUGGGAUUGCGGGGAGAUUGCAUUACGUGCGAUGAGAAACGACGAUGGAAAAAUAUCUUGUUUGUUUCCGUACGUAAUAUUACGUUCCGCAUAUCGCGAUGAGUCGGUUACGAUAUAUUUUCCGCGGUCCCACUAGAGAACGCAGAAGCAUCUCCCUAUAUGCUUUUUCCUCAACUCCAUUUUAUCUAAUAGCGUUAGAUAAAUCUCAAUACCAAACUAAGCCUAAAUGUUUUUUUAUAGCAAAGGUUUUGGUUGGAGUUAAAGUAGGUUGUAAAGCUUUUACAGUUUUUUGAUUUAAAGGUUUUAUAAGCUGGUUACAGUUUAUUGCUGAAACUGGAGUGUUAGGCACCAGAAGUAAAAUGAAAACCAAAAGAUAAUCUAAAGGAUGUUAGGCACUACAACAGAAUUAGGUUAUAGGGACACAUGUUUGGGACACUUUUGAGUAAGUGUCCCAUUUAUGCUAAAACUUAAAAACACAUAUACUAAUACCUAAAUAUAAAGCCCAAUCCAACCAAAAAUAAAAGAUUACUCUACUCAACCCACCACAUCCAGUCCAUUUGGCCCAAUUACAAACAGAAAAGAAAAAAAAAAGAAAAAUCAAUUACCAUCUUUUCUUCUCUCUUCACUCAAUUCACUGAAAUUUUAGACGAAGAGCCUUUACUGUUGUCCUCCUCCGCCACCGCAGCCAACGAGAUAGAGUUUUGGCGGUUGCUAAAUGCUUAAAUAAGUGUUGGUAAAUUAGCAGCACUCUUUUAGGUUAUAGCGACACUCUUUAACUGUCACUAUAUACCUAGCGACCCCACAUAUAGCAACACUUUUUAAAAGUAUCGGUAAUUUUAGCUAGCAGCACUUUUUUGACAUGUACCUACAUUUAAAAGUGUCGCAAUAGACCGUUUUUGUUGUAGUGAGGGCACAUUUAGUUCGCCUAUUUUAAACUAUAGAAUCGGAAUGAAAUUUACUGAUUCCGAUAGUUGUCGUUUGUUUUAUAGGAAUUGAAUUUUGGUUUCCAUUCCACGCUAAAAUAGGAAUGAUCAAAUCCAUUUAUGACCUAGCUAAUCCGACUUUGAAUUCCGAAUUGGUUCAUUCCAAAGUAAACUAUUCAAAAUUCUCCUUCACCAACACCUACCUCAUUUCUUUUCAUCAUUUUUCUCUCUUUUAAUCAAAACCUUCUCUAAAAAAUUUUAAAUUUUCAUUCCGAUUUUCAUGCAAAUAAAGAACCAAAUAUUUUCGGAUGAUUCGCUAUUCCAUUUCUCAUUUCCAAGCAAUCCAAUUCCAUUUCUUAUUUUUAUUCCAAUCAUGAACCAGAACCGAACAUGCCCUUGCUCCGUUUGGUUAGGGGAUAAGCGGUGAUAACAAAAAUUAUCCCCGCUAUUCCGCCAAACGGGGUGAAAUUUGGCUGGAAUAUUUUAUCCCGGUCAAAUCUUACUAUUUCCGGUUAUUCCGGAAUAGCAAGAGAUUUGCUAUUCCACCAUUUUGGUGGAAUAGUGCUAUUCCAAUACUUAAUUUCAAACUUAAUUAAAAUUAUAAAUUGAAUUAAAACUAAAUUAUAUAAAUAUAAUAUGUUAUAUAUUAUAAUACAUUAUUUUUAUUAUAAAAUUAUUAAUUGUACUAUAUUAAUACAUAUUAUUUAUAUUUAAAUAUUAUAAUAAAAUUUAUAAUAAAUUAUAUUUAAAUAUUUUAAUAAAUUCUUUUUAUUAAAUUUAAGUUUAAGUAGAAUUUUGAAUUUAAAUUUUAGAUUUUAAAUUUAAAAAUUUAAAAAUUUAAAUUCAAAUAUAAUAAAAGGAUAAUAUGAUUAUUUUUUAUUUAUAAAACCCACUAUCUUUCUUAUUCUAUCUUUACCUAACAAAAUGCUAUUUUUUUAUUCCCAGAAAUAACCUAAUUUUCAUCCAAACACAAAAUUGAUCUAAUCCCCCUUUAUCCCUGAACCAAACGAUACCUUUUAAUGUACAUAUUUAUUUAUAUUAGUUAUAUUAACAUACCCAAUAUAUAUUCAUAUAUAAAGGAAUAUGAAC
rnacentral:lncRNA from 1 species